rnacentral:lncRNA from 1 species
GAUCCGUAGUUGGUAACUUCCCUAAUGGCGCUGCUAUCCUGUUCGUGUCACUGGGCCAAGGAUUGUGGUGUCGGGUUUGACGGCCAUGUUCUUCAUAGUGUUCCUCAUCUUAUGUGGCAGAGUAGUGAUGGGUAUGACUGUCUUACUACUCUCCCAUCCUCCUCAUCAUUAUCUUGUUGGGCUCAGUGUACACGUACUUUAAAAUUUCAUUUACUUAGUUGAUCUGUUAAAUUUAUUCAGAGGUAAGGUUGAGUUACCUAGUUCUGGUAAAUUAUAAUACAGACGAUGAACUCAUAUAUUUUGUUGUUGUUCAUGUAAGGAUCAUUUAGGAUAUGAAUUAUAGAGUUAUUUAACUUUUCAUUGGUGUGCCUUGCAUUAUUUUAAUGAAUUGAACUUAUAUUACUUUUUCUGUUGACAUUCUGCCAACUUUGAUUAUUGUCUCUUCAACUCAUCCGUAUCAAUUAUACGAAGUUUCGUCUAGCAAAAGUUAUAUCCAUCUACUACGUAUAACACUUAUAUAUCUUUUAUUUCAUUGUCUUGUCUGCACUUCUUAACAUGUAUAUACAUGAAAGUAGUGUGAGGAAAUAUUAAUCUGCAUUAGCAUGUGAUUGGUCUCUUCACAUUUGUAGCAUGUGAUCGGUCUCUUUACAUUCGUAGAAAGUCCACAGGUGGAGGCGAGUCAUGGGCUCCCUAGUUGCUACUGCUGUCAAGUUCCACCUAUGUGAUUCGAAAAAAACUUCCACCAAUGUAAUGUGCUACUACUUUGCAUCUUUCCUACUUCCUCCACACUGUUCUUCACAGGUAUGCUUCCCGCCUCUAGUUGGAUAAAAGGUAUAUUCUCUAUUUGUUGUACCAUAUAAUAGCAAGUUAUAUCAAUGAUAUGUGUAGUUAAGACAAACGAAGAAGGUUCACAUGUAUUAACUGAAGUUGGUUCAUGUGUGUUAAUUGAUAUGCAAUAGAUUUUUCGCAUGUGUUGUAGGCGAUGCCUAUAACACUGGAGCUUUUCUCAUUAUUCUCUUCAACUGAAACAGCUGUAGGAUGGAAGAGAUGUUACCAAGAACACAACUCACAAAAGUGCAUGUCUGAAUGUAUUUCAACCUUAUAUACUAAGUGUCCUCCCUAUAUUGAUCAUGUGAUGUAUUCUUUCUCUAUCCCGGUAAACAUAAAUUAGUUGCCUUUCAAUAUUGUAAAAUAUUUGAUGCUUCUCAUAUUUUUCGUCCAAUGAGUUCAGCAAUUUUGCUACCACUGUUAUUGGUGCAGAGUAAAUAUAAUAUGAAAGUUCUUGUUGAAAUUAGUAGAAUAUGCUUUCGAGGUGUUAUAAUUUCUAGAUAUAUACCACAAUUGUCACAGUAAUACUUGUCAGUUCCUUUGUAGUUAGUUUGUGACUAUCACAACAUGUUCAUGUACAUAUUUUUUUUGUAACAGAUCUAUUACAGCUUGUCGUGAAAAGUAAAAUCCUAAAAAAGUCACCGGAAAACUUUAAAGAUAGCAACCCAAAGAAGUUGGGAGACAUAAAUAAUUCAGAUAUGGUACCAUUAUAACUGAUAUGACUCAAUUAUCAGUACAU